CCUGGAGGAAAAUAAGGUAAGAGAGGGUGUUACAGGUGGAUGCUGAGCCCAGAGACCUGACUUUUUAGGGUAGUGCAGUUGGGGGACAAGGAGAGAGACGCCCCUCGCCCUAAGUCGCAGAAGGGGGACCUGUUUCCUCACUUCCCAUCCGGAAGACUGACGCUCACUCUCAGCAAGUGCUCAGUAUCCCUGCCAUCUGCCAUGGCGUUAGCUCAUCACCAGCCGCCAGAUGAAGCAGCUGACCUCUGGUCCUUCCCUGCUCCUUCCACGUCACUGAGAAUGCUGCUGACUAGUAAGUCGUUCAACACUUAUGAGGGAAGGGGAUUGCAGGGCCUCUCUUGUCAGGAAAGAGUGAAAGGUUUUGUUCUGUGAAUGCCAACUGACCACAGAGCCAACUCUCCAAACUCCUGGGCUCAAGAGAUCCUUUUGUCUCAGCCUCCCAAAUGGUUGGGACUAUGGUCUGCCUGGCUAUCGGUUAGUUAACACUGUGCCUGCUCAGCAUGUAUCUUUUUUAAAAAUUAUUUUAAUAUUUCUUUAUUUUUAUUUUACGUGCACUGUUGUUUUUGCCUGUUUGUAUGUCUGUGGGAGGGUGUCAGACCUUGGAGUUACAGACAGUCGUGGGUGCUGGGAGCUGUACCUGGGCCUUCUGGAAGAGCAGUCAGUGCUCUUAACUGCUGAGCCAUCUCUUCAGUCCCUGAGCCUGUAUCUUUUAUCAGUAAGACACACCUCCACCCCAAUCUCAGCUCCUGUCAGGUCUCUGACUCCUGAACUCGUUUUAUUGAUCUCUGAGUCAGGGUCACAAGUAGCCCCGGCUGGCCUCAAGCUUGCUAUGCAUCCAAAGACGGCCUUGAACUUCCACCUUCGGAGUGGGUUUACAUAAACUGGUCAUUACCGCCUUGUUCUUGCGGUGCUGACCAGGGCUUUUGCAUCCUAGGCAAGCAGUCUAUCAGCUGGGCUAUAUGCCAAGCCCCCAGGCAGGGAAAACGGGCAUGAAGUCAAGGGAAUGCUUUUGCAGAGUGAACCAUCUUCCCUUUGGACUGUAGGCAGCACCUUGUCUUGCAUCUAGACGGGAAGAUUUGCCUCGGCCGCGGCUGCCAGCAUCCUCCUCCAGCCCCUGUGUGUCCACCCAAGUCAGUGGUGAAUGAAGUAAAUCGCAGGGCAUAGCAGUGCCUGGAGAUCGCUGCUUGAGAGAAGACAUCCCUUCCCCAAGGCUGUGUGGGCCUAGGCGAUUCAGUUCACACCGUCUUAAUUGGGUUUCUACUGCUGUGACGAGACUUGGAGAAGAAAAGGGGUUGUUUCAUCUUUCAACUGUCAGGUCACAGCAUCAAGGAGGGAAGUCAGGGAAGGAGCCCAAGGUAGCAACCUCAAGGCAGGACCUGAAGCAGAGGCCGUGGAGGAACGAUACCAUGGCUUCCUUGUCAUGGCUCGCUCAGUCUGCGUCCUUAUCCAACUCCAGACCCCCUGCCCAGCGGUGGCACUGCCCACAGUAGGCUGAGUACAUUCAUGUCGAUCACCAGUCAAGAAAACACCCCUGGAGAUUCGCCUACAGGGACUGUGAUGGAGCCGUUUCCCAGCCGAGGUUCCUCUCCUCGUAACUUUAGCUUGUGUCAAACUGGAGAGUAAAACAAAACCAAACCAACUGGGAUACAAUAAGCUCUAGGAGUUUUUUUCCUACCACCCCUCAGACAUAUAUUAAAAUUACAAGUUUUUCCACC